CAAUGAUGCCAGAUGGCAUGCAUCAGGUAAUAUAGCACACUUCCUAAAGUGCCGCCAGAUUUUUUAAAACAUCGAGUCUGGGACGACUUCUUGAAUGAGCAGCUAGCUGUAGGGUUGCUAUGGAAACUCUGUUAAUCAAAUUCCCUUACACCCUCUGAGGGUCGUUUAGUCCUUAACGACCGAUCUAAGCCAUAGGACUUAGAGUGUUUGCAGCUUCAUAGAUGAAGAAGGCUGCAUCACCGAGAGUGACGCCCUGGGGAGGAACACGAUCAGACCCUAGCAUGCUGGGCCCUGGUUCAUCGCUCUCCAACCCCCGUAGCAGGACUCCAUCCCCCUCCCAUGGCCUGCGUUCCGCAGCCUCUCGGCCCGGCUUGGGGAGCAGUCUUCAGCUGAGUAUGACGGAGGAGGAAAGCCAAGAUGGUGCAGACGGAGAACCCCGCAGCGAAAAUGAUGAAAGGAGAAGUCCAGGUGUUCGCUACAUCACGGAGGACCUGAUUAAGAGGGUGUCCAAGCAGGACAGCCUGGCCUUUGUACGGUCCCUCAACUUGUCACUGGCAAAGAGUGGCAGCAAGAAAUUCAAGUUUAUCGAGAACCUGGAGAAGUGUGAACGGUUGCAGGUCCUCAACCUCAAUCACAACCUCAUCGAGAAAAUCGAGAAGCUGGAAAAGCUUCACAGACUUCGAGAACUCCACCUGUCCCACAACAGAAUCCGAAAAAUUGAGGGCCUGGAGCACAUGGGAAGCCUUCAGCUCUUGAAUCUCGCUGGAAACAACAUCGAGCACCUUCCUCUGUGGCUGGCUAAGAGACUGCGAUCCCUGAACACGCUUAACCUGCAGGGUAACAACAUCUGCUCGCUACACGAGCUGUUGAAGCUGAAGCCACUGAAGAACCUGACGGAGUUACUGCUGAUGGAGAACCCGGUGUUCAACCUUCCCCACUACCGCCUCUUCCUGGUCUUUCAUCUGAGGACGCUCGAGAGGCUAGAUGGGCAGGUCAUCACCCAGCAGGAGCGGGAGCUGGCCUACCAGCGCUUCCAUAUGGAGGAGGUGGAGCGGCUGGAGCAGGACCUGGAGGCACGGCGAGGAGAGGUGGAGAGCCUACGGGAGGAGCAGUCCAUCGCACUGCAGGAGCUGGAGCAGCAGGGGGCGCUCAACCAAAGCCUGAAGCUCCAGUGCCAGGAACAGAAGCAAUGCCAGGCUGAGCUGGAGAGAGAGCUGGAGACCAAGAACCAGCUGGUGGGGCAGAUAGUCAAUUCAGACUUGAAUUCAGACGUAUACACAUACAUGUGUGGCUAACUGGUUAGGGGGCAACUCAGUCUGCGUACGAAUGCAUGCUCACACAUUAAACACGCACCCCUUCGCAUUCACAAAUACACUUACAUCUGCUUACAUGGUGCGAAUGUCCUUGCAUGUCUCAUUUGUCAUGACAAAGAACAUACAGAGGAUUUUAAUGUGGUUGUGUUUCAUUAUAGACAAUAUUUUUCUUAACGGUACACUGUAAAUCAGAUUCUCCUACUUGUUCCCGAGGGACCUCGUGUAUGCUUGUCUUUGUUGCAGUUACUGUCAUGGUCAAUUAUGGUUGUCUAAAAUGUUUUUUUUUUUCUUGAACUUAUCAGCAUGGUGCUGAGCUGGAUCCUUGGAAUUUCUUUUGUCUUUGAACUCAUUUCAUUUUCCACAAAAGGUCUAGUUUCAGUGACCAGACAUCUACGCUUGCAGUUAUUCGGUCCCCACCUAUUUGGCCUGUCAGACUAUAAUUUAUUCAAUUCAAAUGUAAUCUCAUUAUAAUGAAUCAUUUUUCAUCUAGCAGAUUACAUAACAUUAGAUCAUUAGUCAAUCUGAAAGUCCAGGAAUGUGAAUAUGGGACUUUUACUCUUUGUGGCAUCCAUGGCCAUUUGUGACAUAAUGUGAUUUAGAGUAAAUCAGAACCCUAUUCUGUGACCUCUAACCAGGACAUCGUACUUCCUCUUAUGACUUUUCUCUCCCAAUCCCCCCCUCUUUCCUUUAUCUGUCCUUUCCCAACCCUUCCUCUAUGGUCUCCUCUCCAUUACUCCUAUUCUUUACUCUCCUUUCCCUGUAGUUGCUUUCCUGCUCACUAGUAAUUCCUUAUACAGCAGCUCUGUCCUCCCUGCUGCAGCCCGCGCGUCCUGAUCCUGUUCUGGAUGCCGUCUGGAAGCUGAAGCAGAAGAUGAUGGAGCUGACCCGAGCCUGUCAGAAGCAGUAUGAGCUGGAGCAGGAGCUGGCCUUCCACAAGUAUUGUUGACCUCAGAAUGAUGG